GAUGAAGAACGUAGCGAAAUGCGAUAAGUAAUGUGAAUUGCAGAAUUCAGUGAAUCAUCGAAUCUUUGAACGCACAUUGCGCCCUCUGGUAUUCCGGGGGGCAUGCCUGUUCGAGCGUCAUUAUAACCACUCAAGCUCACGCUUGGUAUUGGGGUUCGCGGUUUCGCGGCCCCUAAAAUCAGUGGCGGUGCCUGUCGGCUCUACGCGUAGUAAUACUUCUCGCGAUUGAGUUCGAUAGGUCUACUUGCCAGUAACCCCCAAUUUUUACAGGUUGACCUCGGAUCAGGUAGGGAUACCCGCUGAACUUAAGCAUAUCAAUAAGCGGAGGA
rnacentral:misc_RNA from 1 species